UAUUUUGCCAAGUCGUUGGAUGAGAGAUUUAUUAUAAAACAAGUCAAAAAGACUGAGCUGGAAUCUUUUGAAGAAUUUGCAUCAGAAUACUUCAAAUACUUGACAGAUUCUCUUAGAUUCUCUUAGUUCAGGAAGUCCAACUUGCCUUGCAAAAGUUCUUGGUAUUUAUCAGGUUAUUGUAAAGCACUUGAAAGGUGGCAGGGAAAUGAAAAUGGAUAUAAUGGUGAUGGAAAAUCUGUUUUUUAGGAGAAAUAUUGCAAGGAUCUAUGAUCUUAAGGGUUCUGCCCGAUCACGCUAUAAUCCAGAAACAAAUGGCAAGAACAAAGUAUUGUUAGACAUGAAUUUGGUAGAAACACUGCGUACGGAGCCCAUAUUUCUUGGAAGCAAGGCGAAGAGAAGACUGGAGAGAGCUAUAUGGAAUGAUACAUCUUUUUUGGCAUCUGUUGAUGUAAUGGACUACUCUUUGCUGGUUGGACUGGACAAUGAGAGAAAGGAGCUGGUUGUAGGUAUCAUUGAUUUCAUGAGACAAUAU
rnacentral:misc_RNA from 1 species